rnacentral:rRNA from 1 species
GAUGAACGCUGGCGGCGUGCCUAAUACAUGCAAGUCGAGCGAACAGACGAGGAGCUUGCUCCUCUGACGUUAGCGGCGGACGGGUGAGUAACACGUGGAUAACCUACCUAUAAGACUGGGAUAACUUCGGGAAACCGGAGCUAAUACCGGAUAAUAUAUUGAACCGCAUGGUUCAAUAGUGAAAGACGGUUUUGCUGUCACUUAUAGAUGGAUCCGCGCCGCAUUAGCUAGUUGGUAAGGUAACGGCUUACCAAGGCAACGAUGCGUAGCCGACCUGAGAGGGUGAUCGGCCACACUGGAACUGAGACACGGUCCAGACUCCUACGGGAGGCAGAAGUAGGGAAUCUUCAGCAAUGGGCGAAAGCCUGACGGAGCAACGCCGCGUGAGUGAUGAAGGUCUUCGGAUCGUAAAACUCUGUUAUUAGGGAAGAACAAAUGUGUAAGUAACUAUGCACGUCUUGACGGUACCUAAUCAGAAAGCCACGGCUAACUACGUG